rnacentral:rRNA from 1 species
UACGUAGGGUGCAAGCGUUGUCCGGAAUUAUUGGGCGAAAGAGCUCGUAGGCGGUCUGUCGCGUCGGCUGUGAAAUCCCGGGGCUCAACCCCGGGCCUGCAGUCGAUACGGGCAGACUAGAGUGCGGUAGGGGGAGACUGGAAUUCCUGGUGUAGCGGUGAAAUGCGCAGAUAUCAGGAGGAACACCGGUGGCGAAGGCGGGUCUCUGGGCCGUAACUGACGCUGAGGAGCGAAAGCGUGGGGAGCAAACAGG